CCUACGGGAGGCAGCAGUGAGGAAUAUUGGUCAAUGGACGAGAGUCUGAACCAGCCAAGUAGCGUGAAGGAUGACUGCCCUAUGGGUUGUAAACUUCUUUUAUAUGGGAAUAAUAUGUUCCACGUGUGGGAUUUUGUAUGUACCAUAUGAAUAAGGAUCGGCUAACUCCCUGCCAGCAGCCGCGGUAAUACGGAGGAUCCGAGCGUUUUCCGGAUUUUUUGGGUUUAAAGGGGGCGUAGGUGGAUUGUUAAGUCAGGUGGGAAAGUUUGCGGCUCAACCGUAAAAUUGCAGUUGAAACUGGCAGUCUGGAGUACAGUAGAGGUGGGCGGAAUGCGUGGUGUAGCGGUGAAAUGCUUAGAUAUCACGAAGAACUCCGAUUGCGAAGGCAGCUCACUGGACUGCAACUGACACUGAGGCUCGAAAGUGUGGGUAUCAAACAGGAUUAGAUACCCCUGUAGUC
rnacentral:rRNA from 1 species